rnacentral:lncRNA from 1 species
CCGAGCGGCCUCAAAGUUCUGACAUCACAGGGCGGUUCCUGAAGUGGACGUAAUUAUUAAAUGCUGUUUUCCAUGACUGUCUCUGUUCUUCCCAUAGGCGAAUGGCAGGCAUCCAGAUCUCCAAGAACAGAGGAUUAGGAGAGACUCCACCACCUAUAUCCUCACAGUUAAUUAUCGAUUUGUGUCAGUUGCCCAUUUUCUCACUUCCUGUUUGUGUGUCAAGGAGUAUUAAUAAAUCUUUGCCUAUUUAAAGAUA